GUGCUCACUUCAGCAGCACAUAUCCUAAAAAUUGAAAUGAUAUAGAGAAGAUUAGCAUGGCCCCUGUGAUAGGAAGACAUGCAAAUAAAUUCAUGAAGCAUUCCAUAUUUUU
ensembl:snRNA U6 U6 spliceosomal RNA